rnacentral:rRNA from 1 species
UACGAAGGGGGGCUAGCGUUGCUCGGAUUGACUGGGCGUAAAGGGCGCGUAGGCGGUUCGUACAGUCAGACGUGAAAUCCUGGGCUCAACCUGGGGGCUGCGUUUGAUACGUGCGGACUUGAGUGCGGAAGAGGGUCGUGGAAUUCCCAGUGUAGAGGUGAAAAUUCGUAGAUAUUGGGAAGAACACCGGUGGCGAAGGCGGCGACCUGGUCCGAUACUGACGCUGAGGCGCGAAAAGCGUGGGGAGCAAACAGG